GCUGGGUACAGUGGAGCAUGCCUGUAAUCCCAGGAGCUUGGAAGGCUGAGACAGGAGGAUUGCAAGUUCAAAGCCAGCCUCAGCAAUUUAGUGAGACCCUGUCUCAA
rnacentral:sRNA from 1 species